AAAAGAUACUCUGUAGUCCUAAAUAUAACGAUUAGUAAAAUGAGGUUUUUAAAAGAAAAGUUAUUUUUAGCAGACAUACUUUUCCUUUCCUAAUUGUGGGGCGAGAGCACCUAUGUUCAUCCCUAAAGCAGCACGGACAUGUUGAGCGGGAUCAUUAAUUAACUCUUGAAUAACUGGAAUAAUCUCUUCAAGAACAAUUCGCUUAUCCAACAAUUCGCAAAAUCCUGGUAUUUGAGUAGCAAUAGCACGGCGGACUUCCUGCUCGGUAUCCUUCAUGAGCAG